GAGUUUGAUCUUGGCUCAGAGUGAACGCUGGCGGUAGGCCUAACACAUGCAAGUCGAACGGCAGCACAGAGGAGCUUGCUCCUUGGGUGGCGAGUGGCGGACGGGUGAGGAAUACAUCGGAAUCUACCCUGUCGUGGGGGAUAACGUAGGGAAACUUACGCUAAUACCGCAUACGACCUUCGGGUGAAAGUAGGGGAUCGCAAGACCUUACGCGAUUGGAUGAGCCGAUGUCGGAUUAGCUUGUUGGCGGGGUAAAAGCCCACCAAGGCGACGAUCCGUAGCUGGUCUGAGAGGAUGAUCAGCCACACUGGAACUGAGACACGGUCCAGACUCCUACGGGAGGCAGCAGUGGGGAAUAUUGGACAAUGGGCGCAAGCCUGAUCCAGCCAUACCGCGUGGGUGAAGAAGGCCUUC
rnacentral:rRNA from 1 species